rnacentral:snRNA from 1 species
ACGCUUCAGCAGCAUAUAUGCUAAAAUGGGAAUGAUACAGAGAAGAUUAGCAUGGCCUCUGGGCAAGGAUGACAUGCAAAUUCAUGAAGCAUUUCAUAUUUUA